AUCAUAUACAUGUGACAUACGGGCCUAAUAGGCCAACAUAAUCAUUUAUAAACUCAAAACAUAGGCCGACAAGGCCGUACAAUCUUUCACGUACAAGAUAUAUGUCUACAAGCCUCUAAGAAUACCUAAAUGUCAUAUAGGUCGGGAUAGAGUCCCGCCAUACCAAACAAUACACAUCUAAAUCAUACUAACUAAACGAGCAACUCUGAAGCAAAUGGAGCGCACCAACAUCUUCCGCUGAGCUGAUAGCCUACUUGGAGGGCUCUCGACCUGUCUAUCAGGACCUGCGGGCAUGAAACGCAGCGUCCCCAGGCAAAAGGGACGUCAGUACGAAUAAUGUACCGAGUAUGUAAGGCACAUAAAUAAAUACAUAAAAGACAUGGAAGACAUAUAGAGUACAUGAAUCAACCUGUAAGUAUGAAUAACUUUGUAGAUCAUAGAUUACUUUU
rnacentral:lncRNA from 1 species